rnacentral:rRNA from 1 species
UACGGAGGGUGCAAGCGUUAUCCGGAUUCACUGGGUUUAAAGGGUGCGUAGGAGGGCAGGUAAGUCAGUGGUGAAAUCUCCGGGCUUAACCCGGAAACUGCCAUUGAUACUAUCUGUCUUGAAUACCGUGGAGGUGAGCGGAAUAUGUCAUGUAGCGGUGAAAUGCUUAGAUAUGACAUAGAACACCAAUUGCGAAGGCAGCUGGCUACACGAAUAUUGACACUGAUGCACGAAAGCGUGGGGAUCAAACAGG